rfam:Dipodomys ordii contig_59573, whole genome shotgun sequence.
GGUGGCUCAGUGGUAGAGUGCUUGCCUAGCAUGCAUGAAGCCCUGGGUUCCAUUCCUCAGCACCA